AUUUUCCUAUAUUAUUUUACUGAUCAUGUACUUGAAUCAUCAUGCUGAGGUUACAUUUGAGGCUUAUCAUACCAAAAACAGAGAAAACUUGAGAAAAAAAUCACUUUUUCAGUAAAAUCUAUCAUUAACUGAACAUAAACCAAUGAUUUCCA